rnacentral:rRNA from 1 species
GACAGAGGGUGCAAACGUUGCUCGGAAUCACUGGGCGUAAAGGGCGUGUAGGCGGGACGGUACAGUCGGGCGUGAAAUCCCUGAGCUCAACCCUAGGAACUGCACUCGAAACUACCAUUCUUGAGUGCUGGAGAGGAAAGCGGAAUUCCUGGUGUAGAGGUGAAAUUCGUAGAUAUCAGGAGGAACACCAGUGGCGAAGGCGGCUUUCUGGACGGUAACUGACGCUGAGACGCGAAAGCGUGGGGAGCAAACAGG